CGACAAGAGAAGUGACAAACAUUGUGGGCUUGCAGAACGUCAAGCGACGGCACUGAAAGAGAGUAGGCUACAAGCCAGUCAAACAUUGCUAGUGAAACCUGCAGUUUGAGGAUGGGAAGAUGAUUGUGGCGGCACAGUCCUUCAGCUCGGGAAGCAGUGCUUCUGUGGAGCUCACUGAGGAGGAGAAGGCCUUCGCUGAGCAGAUGAUGCUGUGCAGUCAGUAAUGUGAGGAAGGUGUCCCUAGAACUGGGGGAUAAAUCUCCUCUCAUCAUCUUCAGUGACAUGGACAAGGCUGUGCGCAGGGUCAGUGGACCUUCACUGUAUCUUCAUUAAAUAAUUCAAAUGUUACCGCAAUUUCAAUGAUGGUCACUACCUAACAGUAAUAUACAAAUAUGAAUAUUUGAUAUAUUCUUUAAUAUAAAUGUUUCUGAAUAUUGUAAGGCAUCAAUAACAGUGUAUUUCAGACCAUGAGCUCUGUGUUUUUCAACGAGGGAGAGAACUGCAUUGAAGCAGGCAGACUCUAUGUGGGAGAGAACAUCUAUGACCAGUAUGUCAAGAGUGGUAUGUGCCUCAAGCGCUAACUUAGCUCUCUGCCAUCUUAUCUCACAACGUUAUGCCACCUUACUACAUUUUCUCACAGCGUGCUGCUAACUUAGCCACGUGCUAUUUUAUCUUACAGCAUGAUGCUAAUUUAGCCAUCUGUUACCUUAUCUCACAGCGCUAUGCUAACUUAGCCAUCCACUACCUUAUCUCAAGUGGAGGUUAAAAAUAUAAAGAUUGGGGAUCCUCUGGAUUGCUUCACAGACCACAGACCCCAGAACCACAAGGUCCACCUGGAAAAGCUGGUGCAGUAAUGCCAGACUGGCGUGAAGGAGGGCGCCACUCUGUUGUGUGGGGGAAGACCGGUCUCCCGCCCAGGUUAGACACAUGGACCCGUUUUCAGUUCAUAGCGCUCUAGAUUUUACUAAAAUAAGCUGUGAUGCAGAGUUUGGGCAAUGUCAAUCCAAUUCCAGUCCAUUCAGAAAUGUAAUUGAAUAUCACUAUGCUCAGGGCCCUGGGUCUGAACCCCUCCCUGUGCAACUGGGUCAUGGACUUCCU